UGGGGAAUAUUGGACAAUGGGCGAAAGCCUGAUCCAGCCAUGCCGCGUGUGUGAAGAAGGUCUUCGGAUUGUAAAGCACUUUAAGUUGGGAGGAAGGGCCAUUACCUAAUACGUGAUGGUUUUGACGUUACCGACAGAAUAAGCACCGGCUAACUCUGUGCCAGCAGCCGCGGUAAUACAGAGGGUGCAAGCGUUAAUCGGAAUUACUGGGCGUAAAGCGCGCGUAGGUGGUUUGUUAAGUUGGAUGUGAAAUCCCCGGGCUCAACCUGGGAACUGCAUUCAAAACUGACAAGCUAGAGUAUGGUAGAGGGUGGUGGAAUUUCCUGUGUAGCGGUGAAAUGCGUAGAUAUAGGAAGGAACACCAGUGGCGAAGGCGACCACCUGGACUGAUACUGACACUGAGGUGCGAAAGCGUGGGGAGCAAACAGGAUUAGAUACCCGAGUAGUCCCUGAGCGGGCUGGCAAGGCGCAU
rnacentral:rRNA from 1 species